AGUUCUUGUAGACGUCACACCUACAAAACCAACCCUGGUGGUCAAGAACAAAAUGACCACAAACUCUAAAACAUCUGGAAAAGAGUCUCUCCCCUUCGUCCCCUUCGCUGUGGUGACUGUGAUCUUUCUGCACAUCAUCGUAGCUGUGGUCUAUUGCAGCACCAGAAAGAAAGACUCUCCAUAUAGUCCUGAUAGAGUUCAUUACAGCAGAGCUGAUGGAGAUGGAAAAGCGAAUCUGCAGUAGAGAACAUCAUCAGCAGAAGAGA